ACAUACUCGUCCUGAGCCGGCUUCAGCCUCUCCGCGCAGAAGUCUCCCGGAGCCGACUUCUGAGAGUCGAGUACUCCUAUGUGAAGACUACCAAGCUCGUGUUCAAGGGAACCAAGGCGAAGAGAUUUGCCCGAGGUUGACUGUACAUACAAAUAUUGAGCAUUUCCUCCUGGUCUCCGUGAUAAACAGAGGUUUUGAUAUUUUUAGGCGAGAUGGAAAGAAAGUAUCAAGGAGUGAGCUGAAGCCACUGCCCUUGAGAACCCUCUCGAGGAGUCUGGGCUCAUGAGGAUGCCAGAAUAAGUGGCAGUAAGAAGAAAAAGAACAAAGAUAAGAAAAGAAAAAGAGAAGAAGAUGAAGAAACCCAGCUUGAUAUGUUGGAAUCUGGUGGACAGUAACAAACUUUGGUGAAAUUUCAGGAACCAUAGCCAUUGAAAUGGAUGAGGGAACCUAUAUACAUGCACUCGAUAAUGGUCUUUUUACCCUGGGAGCUCCACACAAAGAAGUUGAUGAGGGCCCUAGUCCUCCAGAGCAGUUUUCGGCUGUCAAAUUAUCUGAUUCCAGAAUCACCCUGAAAUCUGGCUAUGGAAAAUAUCUUGGUAUAAAUUCAGAUGAACUUGUUGUUGGGCGUUCAGAUGCAAUUGGACCAAGAGAACAAUGGGAACCAGUCUUUAAAAUUGGGAAAAUGGCUUUGUCGACCUCAAAUAGCUGCUUUAUUAGAUACAGUGAAGCAGAGGACAUAGAAGCAAAAAGUAAAACAGCAGGAGAAGAAGAAAUGAUCAAGGCUCUCCUAAUCUCUGUCAGACCUUCACCUUUAUGACCUUGCCUUAUCUACCAGAACACAGAUCCCUCUUACUAAAGAUUAGAUCCUGUGCUGAAAGAGAAACCAAGAAAAAAGAUGACAUUCCAGAAGAAGACAAAGGAAAUAUAAAACAAUGUGAAAUCAA
rnacentral:lncRNA from 1 species